rnacentral:tRNA from 2 species
GGCUAGGUAGCUCACCCGGUUAGAGCGCCGCCCUCAUAAAGCGGAGGUAGUGAGUUCGAUUCUCACCCUAGCCACCA